CGAGGGGGACGUCACUCCGCGAUAACACACUAAAACGCACAAAAACUAGCUCGAAAAGCAUCAACGCUACUCAUCGUGCCGAGUUUUCACAUAACGCCACCUUAAAGCAAGUUAUCGCAAGUUAACGCGCGUUAAAGCGAGUUAAAGCGGUCAGCGUCUGCUCGAUUUUUGAAGCAAACGAAUCGAUCUUGCAACCUUGCUGGCUUAAGUCGAGUAGUUUUUAAUCGGGUUUGGCAACUCGGUAUUUGUUUUGGUUUUUUUCCUGCAGUUUCGGGAAAAAUAAACAAAGCAAUCAGCGAGGCAAUCAGUGUGUUUUAUUUUUGCCUACUCGGUGGUGGUGGAAUCGCUGCUGGUUUGUGGCGCUCGGAGCAGGUGAAAUCGUCCCGUGUUGUGGCGCCGACGGUGAACGUGAUAAUCUACAAUCCGUAGUACACCGUUUACACCGAUGGCGGGACCGGCGAAUCCGACGGAGCAGAUGCGGGGGCCGAGUGGAGGUGGACGGGUGGACGAAACGGACGGGAAGACGGAAGAUUUCUGAUUGCAACUCAAGGAGGAGAAGGAUUUGUGUGAUAAAAUGCGCACCACAUCCUGAUGGA